UUGAAUACUCUGAUUAUAUGUGAAAUUUUUAUGUUGGGAAAAAACGGGGUGUUACAUACUUCCUCUUCAUCCUUCUCAGAGUCACCUUCUGAUCCCUGUUUUCUUCAGCAUUAGAGUUAUCUUUGAAAUUUCCAGAAUUCAGAUUUUUCUCUGGAGUAGUUUCAAAGCUAAGAUCUUUCUCACUAGUCAUAGUCUCACUACCACCAAUAGGGUUAUCAGGUUGACCUAAGGAUGUGUCAACAUCCUCUUGAGCCUCGCUUUCUUCAGGAUCACUUUCAACAGAGUCAUUAGCUCUGGUCUCAUUACCAGUAUCAACAUUCAUAUUUUUCGAAAUUUUUAUGACAAUAUUUGAAUCUACUGACCCUGUGUUUUUAUCAUAUAUAGGUACAUCAACAUUCAAG
rnacentral:lncRNA from 1 species